ensembl:lncRNA
UGACACUUGUGAAACAUCUCAAUACUCUAUCAGCUUGUGAGUAAAUGUCAUUAAGUUAAUGUAGCUGCAGUUUCCUUUUGUAUUGCCAAAGGUUUCAUGAAAAUAAUAGUUUUGUAAUAUGCAAGCAUGUGGCAAAAUAAUUGUAAAUAGACUUCAAGUUUAAAGAUUUUUUUUCCUAGUAUAGCUUUCUGUUGGUUCUAUAUGUAUUACCUUUCCCUUCAGAGUGAGCUUCUUGAGAGAAGCUGCAGUGUGAUUCGAUGUUUCCUUCAACUUUUUAAAAAAAGUUUCCAUGUUAAAACCUAGCACAAGUGUAUCAGGGGAUCUGUCUUGCUGUCAGUUUUUCAAAACAACUACAUUUUGAAGUCAGUGGGGAUAUCUGUUGAACAAGGUGUGGCAUAAUAUGGCCUAGGGCUACUAAGUUACUUACUUGAUAAAUAUUACAGGAAAUGUGUUCUUAGUAUUGCACUCUUGCUCUUUCUGCUAAGUGCCUUAACUACCAGCUUCUUCUUGUUAAUGGUUUCCCCAUGAAUGUGGUCUUUCUGCCAGACUGGCAUCAGUUGAGAAGAAGGAUAAUUGAGUCUGACAGCUGUCCCUCUUGUAGACCAGCUGGGACAUCUUCAGCAAUUAUGGAACACCAAAGAGAAGGGACAAGAGUCCAUAAAGAGGAACAGAACUCUGAGGCCUGUGUUUUUUGUUGGGAAAUGUGCCUGUCCCAGGGACUCAGGUGGAGAGCUGCUGUGCUGUCCAGGGACCAGAUCAGCUGGAGGAAGACCAGAAGCAAAUAAUGACAGCACAGCAGCAGCUUGCAACUGAACUGGAAGAUGAAAAUAAUAAGUUCAUGUUAAAAAGAAAUUACUGAAGAUAUUGCAGGGAAGAGGAAAGAAGAAAAACACAAGAGGGCGUUAACCUCAACAUAGUAGCAGUAACUAGGUAGUUGUUUGGUCACCACAUAAACCAAUGGAUCACACAGCCUAAAGAAAGUAUAGACCUUUGUGAAAUAUUAAGUGCAGUGGAAGAACUUCAGUCCAAUUCUUGUUUGUAGAAUAAUUUUUUUAAGUGAAGUUAGACAAGUCUUCAACACCUGUGAACCACACCCUGGAUUUAUUUCUUUUUAUUGUCUGUAUUCUUGCUGUCACAGAAGAGACAAAAGAAAGCUAUUUUAGUAAGGGUUUAGGAAGAACUUGUUAGGAAGAACUUUUUUCUGUGUAGGUGACUGCACAGUGGCACAGUUUUUUCAGAGAGGUUGUAGAGUCUCCCUCACUGGAGAUAUUCAAGAACUGUUAGGACAAAAUCCCAUGCCAUAAAAUCACCCUGCUAGAGGACUGAGGUGGGACCAGAUGUAGUCCCUUUCAACCUGAUAGUGUAAUUCUAUGAUAUUUAGUGUCUGUGAUACUAAACAUUCGUAGGAGGACAAGUAUUCCUAGGUGUGUAAUUCAAAUACUUUUAGUCUGGAAAUGUAUCUACUAACUCUUGUUAGUUAUAUGUUAUGUUAUGUAUGUUAGUUAUCUUGUAUGUUGAUGUUUUGAAUCUAAAGCUAAAUCUAAUUUAGAGCUGGAUUUCUUUUUCCUAUGUAAGAGCAAACCUGAUGAGACUUUGCAAGAGAUAUAUGGAAGUGAACAUAAAGAUUUUUAGGACUUAUAUUGUGAGGAAUUGUGAGGCUAAAAUGAAAAUGCAAUUACUAGUUGUGAUUUUCCUGUUCUGAGUACUCACUUGGGAAAGAAAAAUACAAAUUAAAAAUACUAGGAAAACACCUUAUGACAUAAAUAGCUAUAUACCAUAAAUAUUAAACAGGACCUGGCCAAGGCCUAAUUGCUGUACAGAACAGAAGUAUUACUUCUCAGAUUUUUCAGCCAUUUCUUACAAAUCAUAUAUGUUUGUAGAAAGUUAGGAUAUCUUCACAGUAGUUCACGAACCAACAUGAUGAUUAAAUUCAUCAGGAGUAGUAUUCAUAUGUACCAGUUUCAUUGGUACUUUUCUGCUUACAGUUAUCAUGUUUAAGUCCUUCCAAUUCCUCUUUUCAGUCAUGGAGAAAGAGGAUUUUUAAAUGCCUGCAUCUUGUUGAGUCACUGGAGAAAACCAGUUUGAUUUUAACAUUGCCUACAGCAAAGACUGUUAAUGAUUUUCUGAAGAGCACUAAGUCCCUUUUUCUCCCCCUCUCUCCCCUUCCUAUUUUUGGUUAUUCCUUUAAACUAUGUAAUCCUUAUUUCCUGCCUGUGCCUCUAUAUAUCUUCAGCAGCAGCACAGAAUUUACCCUCAUAGCCUCAGUACUAGCUACAGACUUUUCUAGCUAAACCAGUUGGACUAUUUGGCACUUUCUCAGGGCUAUGAAGAUCGUAUAACUUAUGUUGCCACAAUACAUAUUCAAGAAAUAAGGUCCAUUCUGAAAUUCAAACCACCCUGGCACAUAUUAAUAAAAUUCUUCCCUGAGUUCCA